AUGAACGCUAGCGGCAGGCUUAACACAUGCAAGUCGAGGGGUAUUGGUUUUCGGACCAAGAGACCGGCGCACGGGUGCGUAACGCGUAUGCAAUCUACCUUUUACAGAGGGAUAGCCCAGAGAAAUUUGGAUUAAUACCUCAUAGUAUGCAGAGUUGGCAUCAACACUGCAUUAAAGUCACAACGGUAAAAGAUGAGCAUGCGUCCCAUUAGCUAGUUGGUAAGGUAACGGCUUACCAAGGCUACGAUGGGUAGGGGUCCUGAGAGGGAGAUCCCCCACACUGGUACUGAGACACGGACCAGACUCCUACGGGAGGCAGCAGUGAGGAAUAUUGGUCAAUGGACGCAAGUCUGAACCAGCCAUGCCGCGUGCAGGAUGAAGGUCCUAUGGAUUGUAAACUGCUUUUGUACGAGAAGAAACAACAUUACGUGUAAUGUCUUGACGGUAUCGUAAGAAUAAGGAUCGGCUAACUCCGU
rnacentral:rRNA from 1 species